rnacentral:tmRNA from 1 species
GGGGCUGAUUUAAGCUCGACAUUGGACUUUUACAGAUUGGUUCGCAUAUCGCUUGUCAGCGUUAUAGACAAACUGAAUAAAUGCAAAAACAUUUACUCAGCGUAUAGCUGAUGCUAUGAACGACAAGGUUAAUAAUUUUGUUGCUUCUAUCAGCACACCAGCUUACGCAAGUUUAAGCUUGUCUUAAACCAUGAUUUGAUCGACACCAGAUAGAUCAAAAUCGUGUUAUAUUAUCUGGUUGCUAGAAUUUUGUGCUUUUCUCCACGGAAUUCUCUAAGACAAUGAGAAAUGCGAAGAUAUCGUUUUGUUUGUUUAGCCGGUACCCUCAAAGAUAUGUAAAUAAACUAAAUAUGUAGAAGACCAGUCAAAGUAAAACCGAUGGACGUGGGUGCAAUACCCACCAGCUCCACCA